rnacentral:sRNA from 1 species
AAAGAAUAAUUGCUAUUAUAUUAUGCCUUUUUACCUGUGAAAUCCUUUGCUGUGGUAUCAGAUCCAGAAGCUUGGAAGCUGUAUUACAGAUCCAGGUAAUCGAGAGACCUCAGGAAAUACCAUGCACACAGUGUUUCACCGUGACAAGACCAAAGAUACACAUCCUGAAAGCUGUUGCAGCGCUGAAAAGGGUGGGCAGCCAUUGCCUUGGUUUGAGCAUAGGAAAAAUGUAUCACAGUUUGCAGAACCUACAGAAACGUUGUUUGGUCCCGAUUCUGGAAAAGGUGCCAAGAGCUUAGUUGAACUCCUUGAUGAGUCUGAAUGUACUUCAGAUGAGGAAAUCUUUAUCUCACAAGAUGAAAUACAGUCAUUUAUGGCUAAUAACCAGUCUUUCUACAGCAAUAGAGAACAAUACCGACAGCAUCUGAAGGAGAAAUUUAAUAAAUACUGCCGCUUACAUGAUCACAAGAGGCCCAUUUGUAGUGGCUGGUUGACACGGCUGGAGCAAAUUAAAUAAAUAAAAUAGCUCUGUCUUUCAAUGAAACACUCACGAUGACUACUGCGCCUUCUCUUUCGAAAAACUCUUAAUUUAGUGACUUAUGGCAAAGUUUUAUCUUAAAUCAAUGUGAUUCUUUCUUGUUUUGGGAGACGGUGGAGGUAUCCUCAUUAGUUUGUUCUUUCUU